GGAUGCGAUCAUACCAGCACUAAUGCACCAGAUCCCAUCAAAACUCCGCAGUUAAGCGUGCUUGGGCGAGAGUAGUACUAGGAUGGGUGACCUCCUGGAAAGUCCUCGUGUUGCAUCCC
rfam:Arabidopsis thaliana chromosome 3, complete sequence.